ACCCCAGCUCUGCCCACUUAGUUGUUAUGUGACCUGGGGCAGGUUACUUAGCCUCAUUGUGGCUCAGUUUCCUCAUCUGUAAAAUGGAGAUAAUAAUACUUAUUUCAUAAGGUUGUUAUGAAAUUUC
rnacentral:snoRNA from 1 species